AGCCUCUGGUUAUGACAAGGUCAAGUGUAAGCCAAGAGAAUCCCCACACCCAAAGGAACGACCCAACGGAAAAUAUUUUCACAUCAUCGUGAACUCGAUUUUGUCCAGCUCAAGCUCAUCAACUUUUAAUCAGCGCAUUUGCACAUGUCGGCCACCGUAGGCAGUUUGGACAGAGCCAAAGGGAGAAGAGGAGGGAGUCAUCCCGGAUGUUUGGGUGAAGGAUAACAUGGUUUACUGGCCAACAGGAGAACAGCUGAAGGAAUGCAACAACCAGGAAGCAGCUGGCAAAAGUUUCCACUGCUGAAAAUCUAAAUCAACUCAAAGAAGCGAGAAGAGUGUGAAGCAUUCGACCAAACAACAACUGCACAGCUAAGUGAGGAAGAAUGCAUUCCUGUUAGGAGGGUGAAGAAGAAAAGAUAACCAGGGUUUAUCUUAGAUGAGGAUGAAAGCAGCUCAGAUGGUGCUGGAACCAGAUGUGGCAAUGUGCAGAAACGAUGUGUGGAACCACAGUCACAACACAGUCCAUCCUUGACAAAACCACCAAGGGUUCAACAAAAGAGACACAGAUCUAAGUCCCAGUCUCCUACACAUCCUUCAAACUACACCCAAAAGAUCACACACUCAGCACAAGAGCUCCCGCUCUCCAGCCAGAAGUCCCGCCCUCCGCACCACAGCUCUACACACCAUCACUCCCAGUCUACUCAUCGGUGGUCCCACACUCCACAUGAGGGAACCAAUCCCAUCAGAUAAUGGAAGUUAGUAUACCUCCUAACUCCUUUUGCAAAUGGAACUAAUGUUUAUUUUCAUUCCGAUUUGCCCUUCAAAAGUUCCAAAGAAGGGUCCUCUAUCUACUGGCCGAUGUUCGUGAAAAGCUGUCCCAGGUGGGCCAAAGCUGUUUGCUUCAAGAUUCUCAGUUCCACCUGGCAUACCUGCAAAUUCUGAAUGGCUGAAAAAGGUGACCCCCCCAGGAAAAUACGUCAGAGUUCUUACAAACAAGUUGAUGGCUAUAAUGAACAUGGAUGGCACAGGGCUAAAGAAAGCCUUUGGCAAAACACGGCUCAGCCAAGUUAUAACAGGUGCUGUACAGCAGUCAAAACCAGCAUUGUCAGAGGUGAUAUAAAAAAUCAUAUGAAGAACUAUCUCCGGUCUGCUCCCGACAGAUAUGGGGGUGUGGGACGCCAAAAGGGGCCAGACAGCAGUUGAUCAUUGUUCAAGAUCAGAAUAAGUAUUUGACCAAAUCCAGCCUACAUUUGUACUUUUACAUUUGAAGCUGAUGAAUAAAACUUUUCUUAAAUUUG